GGUUUUUCUUAAUUACGAGGCAGUAUUCAAAAGAGCAAAUAUGUAUCCGUACAGCAUUUUUAUCUUUACUUUUUAUCUUAUUGCAUGUGUUCGAUGUCAGGUAAUCUUGAAGCAGUCCGAAGCAGAACAGAGACAGCCCGGCCAGUCCCUCAAACUGUCUUGUUCGAUUUCUGGAUUCACUUUCAGUGGCAGCAGCAGCUACUUCCUGAGCUGGAUCAGACAGCCUCCGGGAAAAGGUCUGGAAUGGCUGGCAGCUGAAAGAGGAGAUAAAGGAGAAACGUACUACGCAAACUCAAUUAAAGGGAGAUUCACCAUCUCGACGGAUAGCAAUGGCGCAUAUCUGCAAAUGAACGCCCUGACAGCGGAUGACACGGCGGUGUAUUUCUGUGCUCGUGGGUCACAGUGA